UACGUAGGGCGCAAGCGUUGUCCGGAAUUAUUGGGCGUAAAGAGCUCGUAGGUGGUCUGUUGCGUCCGCUGUGAAAACCCAGGGCUUAACCCUGGGCUGGCAGUGGAUACGGGCAGACUAGAGGUAGGUAGGGGAGAAUGGAAUUCCCGGUGUAGCGGUGAAAUGCGCAGAUAUCGGGAAGAACACCCGUGGCGAAGGCGGCACUCUGGGACGGUACUGACGCUGAGACGCGAAAGCGUGGGGAGCGAACAGG
rnacentral:rRNA from 1 species